AUGCAGUCGAGGGGCAGCGGGAUUGAAGCUUGCUUCAAUUGCCGGCGACCGCGCGCACGGGUGAGUAACGCGUAUCCAACCUUCCGUACACUCAGGGAUAGCCUUUCGAAAGAAAGAUUAAUACCUGAUGGUAUGAUGAGAUUGCAUGAUAUCAUCAUUAAAGAUUUAUCGGUGUACGAUGGGGAUGCGUUCCAUUAGGUAGUAGGCGGGGUAACGGCCCACCUAGCCAACGAUGGAUAGGGGUUCUGAGAGGAAGGUCCCCCACAUUGGAACUGAGACACGGUCCAAACUCCUACGGGAGGCAGCAGUGAGGAAUAUUGGUCAAUGGACGAGAGUCUGAACCAGCCAAGUAGCGUGAAGGAUGAAGGUCCUACGGAUUGUAAACUUCUUUUAUAAGGGAAUAAACCCUCCCACGUGUGGGAGCUUGUAUGUACCUUAUGAAUAAGCAUCGGCUAACUCCGUGCCAGCAGCCGCGGUAAUACGGAGGAUGCGAGCGUUAUCCGGAUUUAUUGGGUUUAAAGGGAGCGCAGACGGGUCGUUAAGUCAGCUGUGAAAGUUUGGGGCUCAACCUUAAAAUUGCAGUUGAUACUGGCGUCCUUGAGUGCGGUUGAGGUGUGCGGAAUUCGUGGUGUAGCGGUGAAAUGCUUAGAUGUCACGAA
rnacentral:rRNA from 1 species